AUUGAACGCUGGCGGCAGGCCUAACACAUGCAAGUCGAACGAGUGGCGGACGGGUGAGUAAUGUCUGGGAAACUGCCUGAUGGAGGGGGAUAACUACUGGAAACGGUAGCUACUACCGCAUACCAUCAGAUGUGCCCAGAGGGGAUUAGCGAGUUGGUGGGGUAACGGCUCACCAAGGCGACGCUCCCUCGCUGGUCUGAGAGGAUGACCAGCCACACUGGAACUAAGACACGGUCCAUACUCCUACGUGAGGCAGCAGUGGGGAAUAUUGCACAAUGGGCGAAAGCCUGAUGGAGCCAUGCCGCGUGUAUGAAGAAGGCCUGCGGGUGGUAAAGUACUUUCAGCGGGGAGGCGUUACCCGCAGAAGAAGCACCGGCUAACGCCGUGCCAGCAGCCGCGGUAAUAC
rnacentral:rRNA from 1 species